CUACGGGUGGCUGCAGUGGGGAAUAUUGGACAAUGGGGGAAACCCUGAUCCAGCAAUGCCGCGUGUGUGAAGAAGGCCUGCGGGUUGUAAAGCACUUUCGGUUGGGAGGACUGCUUCUAGCACUAAUAUUGUUGGAAGUUGACGUUACCUUCAGAAGAAGCACCGGCUAACUCCGUGCCAGCAGCCGCGGUAAGUACGGAGGGUGCAAGCGUUAAUCGGAAUUACUGGGCGUAAAGCGCGCGUAGGCGGCUAGAUCAGUCGGGUGUGAAAGCCCCGGGCUUAACCUGGGAACUGCAUCCGAUACUGUCUAGCUUGAGUACAGGAGAGGAGAGUGGAAUUCCACAUGUAGCGGUGAAAUGCGUAGAUAUGUGGAGGAACACCAAUGGCGAAGGCAGCUCUCUGGCCUGAUACUGACGCUGAGGUGCGAAAGCGUGGGGAGCAAACAGGAUUAGAUACCCCAGUAGUC
rnacentral:rRNA from 1 species